AUUUACUUUACCAACCAUUUUUUUGAAAGCACAACGGAAGUGUUCUGCAUAUUAUUUUUACUGUAAAUAGUCUCGAUUGUGGUGUUUUUCUUUGGGUUGUUGUGUUUCCUCUGCUUGCCUGGCACGAGGACACCCUCCAAACGCACCUGAGGCGCAUCUCCUAAUUAGGAAAGAAACGUUGGAUUGGCACGAGGACACUCUCCAAACACACGUGAAGCGCAUUCCCUAAUCAGGAGAGAGAAGUGAGAUCGACAGCUACUGAUUAAAAGAAAGUCUUCUGUUGGGGCGACCUCAGUUCUUGACAACAAAGGCUAAAUUAAGCUAGUUAGCAUAUUUCUGUGAAUAUAUUUUCAUUGAUUUCAAAGUUUGACAAUUUCAGCUUGUUAACAAUCAUAGUGUAUAUAUCUAUGGUUAACAAUGCAAAUGGGUCUUGUUGUUAAAGCGUCUACAGUAGCCUAGUUACCAAACAGUGUGUAGAAGCCAGAAUGCAUGUUGUGACAAAACCCUUUUUGCUAAAGCUCAACUGAGCUAACUCUUUUCAAGCUGCACCUUUCUAAAGAAGAUGAUUUACAGAGUGAAGGUGUUGCCAGCGUUGCUUCAUGGGGAGGUGGUGUAUGUUGUCCACCAGAGGGGACUGCUGCAGAAAUCGCUGAAGGAGUGUCUCAAGAACUGUGCUGGCCCUCUGAGGAUGCCUCUACCCACAGGACUGGAAGGUGCAGGUGUCGAUUGGCAUGCUCAAGCUUCUUCUGGCGAGUCUCCAGGUCCUUGGCCCUCUGCUGUUCCCGCUGUAGUUUCCUGAUGUAGUCCACUGAUGCCUUCAGGAUGGUGCCUUUGUUCCAGCGCAUGUCCCUGAAAAUCAAAGGCAGGAGUUGCUGAUGGGUAGACCUUGCUGGGACAUACUCUGAUUACCAUACAUGUCCAUGAGGUUGGCAUUCAAGGGGAUCUGAGGAGACACGACAAAGAGUUUAAGCAAGGAUCACCCCCCCUGGCCCUGUAUAUGAGCAUGAUACGUAGGGUGGUGACGUGAUACGUGGCUAUUAUGCAGUGAGAAAGGUUUGGCAAAAUGUUAUAAUACACAAGUUAAAGUGCUUUCAUGCUAAGAGUUGGAUAAGAAGUUCAAUACCACUGUCAUAUAAGGCUAUAGCCAGUACUGUAGCUGCUUAGCAACAAGACAGGAAACAAGGGGAAACAGCUAGAUUGGCUCAGUUCUUAGGUAAAAACAGUAAUCCACCUAUCGGCAUUUCUAAAGCUCACUAAUUAACACAUGAUACCUCUUUUUAUUUUUUUUAUCCAUACAAAUACACAUACAAAUGUGUGACUAAGUGAUUCCCUCGAGUCUCCACUGGUUGCCUGGCAACCUCACAGUGACGAGAAGACUCAAGAACGUAUCUCCAAAAAGACUAUUUCUGUAUAUUUGGGCAGCACAGCUAGCUUUAACAUUCAAAUAACUGUAACUACUUAGCUUAACUGGGAAAAGCACAAGAUUAAGAUUUAGUUUUUUAUCAUAGAAUUUAUGUGGAUAUGUUAACUAAAUAAGACUCAGUCAUGUGUUGAAAGUGUGAAGUGUCUGGUGUACACACACACACACACACACACACACACACACACACACACACACACACCGUGUUAGUCAUCUGAAGUCCUGGGUCCAUCAGGCUGAGGAUAUCAUCACUGUAACUGGACUCCAGACUAAUAAUGUCAUCAAUGACAUCAUCCAUCUAAAACAAGAUGACAUUAAGGGCAAAGGACAUACAGAUUAGUUUGAUUUUAACAAGUUAAAGAUCACAAAAAGGCAUAAUCCGUGAGUUAUUGUGAGAAACACGACGAGUCACAAGCAGUCACCUCUUUCUCGCAGUUAGUGUUGAGGGUCAGUAAGGCCAUAGGGCUGUUGGGGGCGCUAUUGCCCGGCCCUGGCUGCAUGCCCCCGUGGUCAGAGGACUGGUUGUGGCAAGGAAAGCUCAACACCUGAGAGCCAAGCUUUCCCAGGUACUGCUUCACUUGCUGCUGCUGGGAGCGCUGGAUGUGGUACUUGGUUGGGUUCUCCAGAUGAGUCUGGACCUAUUGGUGGGAGGAGAGAAAGGGAAAAGGGCAAGCGAGCAGAGUAGGAAAGUGGGAAAAUGAAAAGACAAAAACAUAAAAGGUAUUAGUGACAGGAUAUAUAUUGGAUGUGCUGAUGGUUACAGGUGCCACACGGGAAAUGUUGCUUGCUUAGAAAUAAAUCAUACGUUCAAAUAAUUCCCCUUUAAACUGCAACCAUAUUAUUUUUGUAGUCACAAUUCACAUUUGGCAAUCUAAUAAAUCUGGCAUUUAAUAAAGGACUAUUUUUAUUAGAUCAAAAAGACUAUCAAAAUAUUUUAAGAUAUAUAAAGAGAAAAUAUAUUAAAGAGAUGCUAAAUAUACCUCAAAGCCUGUCCAUAGUAUUGCACAGUACUGACUAGAGUAUUAAAAUAAACUUGGCAUGGAGUUCAAAUCCUA